rnacentral:tRNA from 1 species
AAAUUUGGAGACGCACCCCCCAAAGGUGCCGGGGCUUCUCCCGUUUUAAGAGAGACGGGAGAAGG